UUUAACCUGCCCGAUGCGACAAACGCACGGUACAAUAUUAACCCAACACGUUUUUAUCGGGAGUCGGAAUUCCGAGGCGGUGUGCAGACCUCCCGCAGUUUUGCGGACGUUGGGAGCACUAAACCCGAGGAAAGACACCCACCUGCUUAUUUGCAGGUUAUUAUUUGCCGUGUGCGGUCGGGCGGGGAUUAC
rnacentral:other from 1 species